AUACCCCCGCCUCCCGCCUGGCUUUCACUUCCUUGCUUUUGGAGAGAAGAUGAAUGGAAAUGUAUGACUUUGUCUGUGGUAUAAAGACAUGGAUUCAAGUUCAGGGUUUGCCAUGGACCUGCCGUGUGACCUUUGGAAGGUCCACAGAAAACAUCCUGGGGUCCUGAGCUGAAGUGUGAUGGGAGGAGUCCUCUGUAUCUCAGUCUGAUCCUGGUCUCCCUCUCGGCCAUGGUCUCACACUAGUGCUGCUGGGAAACCAUCCCUCACAUCCAGUCCUGGCAUCGGGCAGUGACUCUGGUCCAACUGUUGUCCAACUCAAGGGUUUAGCUGCUUAGAUUUUCCUAAAACUUGAAUUUCAUUUUCCUCUAGCCAUGGAAUACAGAUUAAUCCUUUACAAUUAAAAUCCAAGUUCAGAUUUUAUUUGUUGUGGUUUUUAAUUAAAAUCUCACCAGCACUUUGUGGAUUUUUUUUUUCUUAGAAAG
rnacentral:lncRNA from 1 species